GACGAACGCUGGCGGCGUGCUUAACACGUGCAAGUCGAACGGAAAGGCCCAGCUUGCUGGGUACUCGAGUGGCGAACGGGUGAGUAACACGUGGGUGAUCUGCCCUGCACUCUGGGAUAAGCCUGGGAAACUGGGUCUAAUACCGGAUAUGACCAACUGUCGCAUGGUGGUUGGUGGAAAGCUUUUGCGGUGUGGGAUGGGCCCGCGGCCUAUCAGCUUGUUGGUGGGGUAAUGGCCUACCAAGGCGACGACGGGUAGCCGACCUGAGAGGGUGAUCGGCCACACUGGGACUGAGACACGGCCCAGACUCCUACGGGAGGCAGCAGUGGGGAAUAUUGCACAAUGGGCGCAAGCCUGAUGCAGCGACGCCGCGUGAGGGAUGACGGCCUUCGGGUUGUAAACCUCUUUCACCAGGGACGAAGCGUGAGUGACGGUACCUGGAGAAGAAGCACCGGCCAACUACGUG
rnacentral:rRNA from 1 species